rnacentral:rRNA from 1 species
UACGUAGGAUGCAAGCGUUGUCCGGAAUUAUUGGGCGUAAAGAGCUCGUAGGCGGCUCGUUGCGUCGGCUGUGAAAACCCACAGCUUAACUGUGGGCCUGCAGCCGAUACGGGCGAGCUAGAGUUCGGUAGGGGAGACUGGAAUUCCUGGUGUAGCGGUGAAAUGCGCAGAUAUCAGGAGGAACACCGGUGGCGAAGGCGGGUCUCUGGGCCGAUACUGACGCUGAGACGCGAAAGCGUGGGGAGCGAACAGG